AUUCACAUAAUGCGCGGACGAAUUAAAAUGCACUGUUCUUAUGGUAUUCGAAUACCCGACGGCAGCCUGCUAAGUAUUACGUUUAAAACCAAGCACUUAAUGAUGCUCUAACGAAACAGAUGAGUGCGAUUAUGCAAUCACAGGGCACCGCUAAUCGAUAGGCUCACAUAAUCGUACCGUGCCGGCCAACAUUUUGUCACUAUGAGGCCGACAACCGUUAUUAAAGCGAGCUCACUAAUACGUAUUGGAGUCAUAUUGGGUUUGGUGAAAGUGAAAGGUGAACAGCAUACCAUUUUGCGGUGCCGUAAAAUAUAUUAUAAAUGAAAAAGUUGCGUAUCCGAGUGCUUAACAGAGGAGAGCAGCUGACCUGCUGCAGUUUGCCCUUGAGAGCCUUUAGCGUCAAUUCCACUUAAAUUUACCAAGCAGUGGUCUACGAAACAAACACAAAACACAACAACAAAAACGGAAUCCCAACGGCAAUCUCGUCAAGGUCGAUGCAUUCAACAUCUGCAAAAUCCAGUUUAUACCCACAAAGGAGACGAAAAAGCCUCGACUGACAUAAGCAAACCGUGUGCCGGACCAUCGAUUGCCAAGCAAAACAAUCACAAUUAACUUCUGUAAAAAAAAGAGCGAGCUAAGGAAAUAUUUGUGUUAGAAAAUCCUUCAAGUAUCAGUAAAAUCUUCAAUCUUAAUAAAAAUUAUAUGGACAUUGGAAGCUAGCUUCGACAAGCCGAAUCAUCUAAACCCUUCGAAUAAUCGAAUAAGAAAAAUGUUAUGAUCAAAAAGGUUUAUGCAGCAAAUAGCAUUAAAACUGUGAGAUCAGUUUGCGUAGAAAUAGACGAACGGACACGGCUAUAUAGAGCCGGCCGUUGAUACUGCUCAAUUAAUGUGGUCGUAGAUAUAGGAUAGAAAGGCUAUACAAAAUAAAAGUUUACAGCGGCUUUUUGCCGU
ensembl:ncRNA lncRNA:CR46254 long non-coding RNA:CR46254